AUUGAACGCUGGCGGCAUGCCUUACACAUGCAAGUCGAACGGCAGCGGGCCCUUCGGGGUGCCGGCGAGUGGCGAACGGGUGAGUAAUGCAUCGGAACGUACCCGGGAGAGGGGGAUAACCGGCCGAAAGGCUGGCUAAUACCGCAUGAACUCGGAAGAGCAAAGCGGGGGACCUUCGGGCCUCGCGCUCUCGGAGCGGCCGAUGUCCGAUUAGGCUAGUUGGGGGGGUAAAGGCCCACCAAGGCGACGAUCGGUAGCGGGUCUGAGAGGACGAUCCGCCACACUGGGACUGAGACACGGCCCAGACUCCUACGGGAGGCAGCAGUGGGGAAUCUUGGACAAUGGGCGCAAGCCUGAUCCAGCAAUGCCGCGUGGGUGAAGAAGGCCUUCGGGUUGUAAAGCCCUUUCGGCGGGGAAGAAAUCGGUCAGGCGAAUAGUCUGGCUGGAUGACGGUACCCGCAGAAGAAGCACCGGCUAACUACGUG
rnacentral:rRNA from 1 species